AUCGUUGCAUUUGUUUUCAAAAACGGAUUCGGUAUUCGAGCCUUACAAAAUUCAUUGGCAUUCUAGAUUUCGUCAAGAGCAGUUCAAAAUUCAAGUGAAAAAAUGGUGUGAAAUUUUGUUUGUUUUAUUAUUUGUGAUAAUGUGGAUUGUUUUCAUGAAAACAAAUGGCAUUUUUAUUGUGCAAGAAAGAGCAAUAAGGCAAAAAGGCAGCUAGGCACAUCGAGCGCAAAGGAAAGGAAAACAACAGGCAGCUACAUAGAUUAAAGAUCAAAUUGAAAAAUAAAUUGAAACUAAGAAAAUCAGCAGCGAUUCAAAAGAAAAAGUGUGUGCCGAUGUAGAACUAUGCGGGUGAAAUGAUGGACGUUGACUUGGAACUGUUCAAUACAUUCGAUGUGCUGCAAUCAUCUUCAGAGCAAAUAUUCAAAUGUGGCUUUUGUAUUCAUGGCACAUACAGGCGGCUUCCUUCCUCUAGUGCAUAUGAAGCUUCAAGCUCGGCUAUUAUGUCACUGCAGUACAAUGGAUGUAAAACCUAGAUAUGAGUAUUGCUUCAUCAUCGGACUGAUGAACGUUCCGUUCGCUUAUUGAGACCAUCGUCUCCGUAAGGUAUAGGAGCUGUCAGAGCAGUUAGAGUAGUUAUGGGUUUUACUUUUAAUGUCCUGCGGCACCAUUAAGGAGGACUUGGAAAUUUCGUUUGAACUUGAAAGGGCAGCCAAUUAGGUGCUCUGCUUAUGAUGUUCGCAUUUGAGGUUUUGUGAUCGUGAUGGUUGUAUCACACCGAAUGUAGUGAGCAGCUCUUUGUCAACGCCUCUUGUUUCACGUGCAUCGUCAUUCUCCUGUUAAAAGGUGGUCGCCACAACUGACAUAGAAAGCGUUUUACUGUACACCUUCUCUAGAUCCGAUGAUCAACUUUUGAAGAAAAUUGUCAUAGCAUAGCCAAUAGGGAUGCAAGCUACCAGCUUAGGAUGAUUUAAAUAAGGUUCCUUCAGCGUUCAGAUGAAGAAGCACAAAUUGAUCUCACUUUGUGUCACCAUCGGUUCAUUAGAACUCAUUACCUCUUCUCAAGUCAACAACCAGAAGAAUGACUGUGGACUCAGAACUCGAGAUGAAUCACAAGCUCGGGAUAAUUCCGCCAGCUGCUGAAUGAGGUCUAAGCUAGUCUCUAAAUCGGCCGAAUCCAACAUUCAAUGGGAUUGGGCAACAUUAUUGUGGUUUGCAAGUCGACAAUAUGGGUGGAAUGAAUGUCAAGUCGACGUCUGCUGAUUCGAAAUUUGGCGGGCUUAAUUAAUAGUUUGUGAGACUUUUUCGCGCUCGAUUUCAAUAAAUUGGAUUGUAUAAA